GGGUGCGUGUUCUAGUGGUAUGAUUUUCGCUUCGCAUUCAUGCAACAUGUGAAAGGUCCCCGGUUCAAUCCCGGGCUCAUCCA